rnacentral:rRNA from 1 species
ACCUGGGCUUCGGCCCAGGGGAAAGCGGCGAACGGGUGAGUAACACGUGGGUAACCUGCCCUCGGCACCGGGAUAGCCCGAGGAAACUCGGAUUAAUACCGGACAGCCUCAUGAGCUCUCGGGCGAAUGAGAAAAGGUGGCUUCGGCUUCCGGCUGAGGAUGGGCCCGCGGCCGAUUAGCUUGUUGGUGAGGUAAUGGCUCACCAAGGCUCCGAUCGGUAGCUGGUCUGAGAGGACGAUCAGCCACACUGGGACUGAGACACGGCCCAGACUCCUACGGGAGGCAGCAGUGGGGAAUCUUGCGCAAUGGGCGAAAGCCUGACGCAGCGACGCCGCGUGCGGGAAGAAGGCCUUCGGG